rnacentral:rRNA from 1 species
GAUGAACGCUCGCUACAGGCUUAACACAUGCAAGUCGCGGGGCAGCAUGGGGGUUGCUUGCCAUCCCCGAUGGCGACCGGCGCACGGGUGAGUAACGCGUAUCCAACCUGCCCUUCACCACGGGAUAACCCGGCGAAAGUCGGACUAAUACCGUAUGUUGUCCAUUGACGGCCUCCGAUUUGGACGAAAGGUUUGGCGGUGAAGGAUGGGGAUGCGUCCGAUUAGCUGGACGGCGGGGUGACGGCCCACCGGGGCGACGAUCGGUAGGGGUUCUGAGAGGAAGGUCCCCCACACUGGAACUGAGACACGGUCCAGACUCCUACGGGAGGCAGCAGUGAGGAAGAUUGGUCAAUGGGCGUAAGCCUGAACCAGCCAAGUAGCGUGCAGGAGGACGGCCCUAUGGGUUGUAAACUGCUUUUAUGCGGGGAUAAAGUGGCCCACGUGUGGGUUUUUGCAGGUACCGCAUGAAUAAGGACCGGCUAAUUCCGUG